UACGAGGGGGGCGAGCGUUGUUCGGAAUUAUUGGGCGUAAAGGGUGCGUAGGCGGUUUGGUAAGUCUGAUGUGAAAUCUAUGGGCUCAACUCAUAGUCUGCAUCGGAAACUGCCGGGCUUGAGUGUGGGAGAGGUGAGUGGAAUUCCUGGUGUAGCGGUGAAAUGCGUAGAUAUCAGGAGGAACACCGGUGGUGUAAACGGAC
rnacentral:rRNA from 1 species